AGUGAACGCUGGCGGUAGGCCUAACACAUGCAAGUCGAACGGCAGCACAGUAAGAGCUUGCUCUUACGGGUGGCGAGUGGCGGACGGGUGAGGAAUACAUCGGAAUCUACUUUUUCGUGGGGGAUAACGUAGGGAAACUUACUCUAAUACCGCAUACGACCUACGUGUGAAAGCAGGGGAUCUUCGGACCUUGCGCGAUUGAAUGAGCCGAUGUCGGAUUAGCUAGUUGGCGGGGUAAAGGCCCACCAAGGCGACGAUCCGUAGCUGGUCUGAGAGGAUGAUCAGCCACACUGGAACUGAGACACGGUCGAGACUCUGACGGGAGGAAGCAGUGGGGAAUAUUGGAAAAGGGGCGCAAGCCUGAUCCAGCCAUACCGCGUGGGUGAAGAAGGCGUUAGGGUUGUAAAGCCAUUUUGUUGGGAAAGAAAAGCAGCAGGUUAAUACCCCGCUGUUCUGACGGUACCCAAAGAAUAAGCACCGGCUAACUUCGUG
rnacentral:rRNA from 1 species